rnacentral:tRNA from 1 species
GCCUGGGUGGCUCAGUCAGUUGAGCAUCUGACUUUGGCUCAGGUCAUGAUUCCACUGUUCGUAGGUUCAAGCCCAGCGUCGGGCU